rnacentral:rRNA from 1 species
GCGGAGGGAUCAUUACAGAGUUAUCCAACUCCCACACCCUAUGCCAAUUUACCUCGCUAUGCCUCGGCGUAAGCUGCGUGGUUGGAGGGGCGUUCCGCGAGAGCGGCGCGCCCCCGCCGCCCGCUGCCCGCCGGCGGUACACUAAACUCUUGUUUUAACUGUAUCUUCUGAGCGUCUUAUUUUAAUAAGUCAAAACUUUCAACAACGGAUCUCUUGGUUCUGGCAUCGAUGAAGAACGCAGCGAAAUGCGAUAAGUAAUGUGAAUUGCAGAAUUCAGUGAAUCAUCGAAUCUUUGAACGCACAUUGCGCCCAUUAGUAUUCUAGUGGGCAUGCCUGUUCGAGCGUCAUUUCAACCCUUAAGCCUAGCUUAGUGUUGGGAAUCCACGGCCCGUGGUUCCUCAAAGACAGUGGCGGAGCGGCAGCAGUCCUCUGAGCGCAGUAAUUAUCUAUUCUCGCUUUUGUUAGGCUCUGUCCUCCCGCCAUAAAACCCCCAUCUUUUUAGUGGUUGACCUCGGAUCAGGUAGGAAUACCCGCUGAACUUAAGCAUAUCAAUAAGGCGGAGGAA